rnacentral:rRNA from 1 species
UCUGGCGGCAGUAGCGCGGUGGUCCCACCUGACCCCAUGCCGAACUCAGAAGUGAAACGCCGUAGCGCCGAUGGUAGUGUGGGGUCUCCCCAUGCUAGAGUAGGGAACUGCCAGAC